UACGGCAAUAACACCUUCAAACACUGGUGAUCAUGAUCACUGAAAUUAAGCAACAUAGAGCCUGAUCAGUACCUGGAUAGGUGACCGCUUGGAAAUAUCAGGUGUUGUAAG